AACAGAGUGAUGAACAGGCGCAGUAGUCUGGCUGAUUUAUUUAUAGAGAGCAGGUGGCUGGUGAAAACCUGUAUGAUCAGACAAGACGAAUUACACCUUGGAGCUGCCUUCACAGGCGCGACCCGGCGUUAUGGGUAUAAGCGAAGCAGUUUUACUGCUUUAAUUUGGGUGGUACCACGGCACUGUUCGUCCCGACA
rnacentral:ncRNA from 1 species